AUACGGGAGGCAGCAGUGGGGAAUCUUGCGCAAUGGGCGAAAGCCUGACGCAGCAACGCCGCGUGUGUGAUGAAGGUCUUCGGAUCGUAAAGCACUGUCGCGAGGGAAGAUACGCUACACGCUAACAUCGUGGAGCUGAGACGGUACCUCGAGAGGAAGCACCGGCUAACUCUGUGCCAGCAGCCGCGGUAAUACAGAGGGUGCGAGCGUUGUUCGGAAUUAUUGGGCGUAAAGCGCUUGUAGGCGGCUUGUUAAGUCGCGUGUGAAAUCCCCAGGCUUAACCUGGGAAGUGCGCGCGAAACUGGCGAGCUUGAAUGCCGGAGAGGGUCGCGGAAUUCCCGGUGUAGAGGUGAAAUUCGUAGAUAUCGGGAGGAACACCAGUGGCGAAGGCGGCGACCUGGACGGACAUUGACGCUGAGACGCGAAAGCGUGGGGAGCAAACAGGAUUAGAUACCCCGGUAGG
rnacentral:rRNA from 1 species